rnacentral:lncRNA from 1 species
UUCGUACCAAGCUCGGAGUAGGUUCGUAAUGUGAAAAAAAAAUUUAGGUUGUAAUUUUUUUUCUCUUCUUCCUUUGUAUUUCAGCAUAUUAUAAUUGAAAAAAAAAUCAAAAAAAAAGAGAAGAGGAAAUUUGAAAAAAAAAUUCAAAAAAAAAAAUUCAAAAUUUUUUUUUUUUGAAGUAUAAAAAAAAAGUGAAAAGUCUUGUGAGU